rnacentral:rRNA from 1 species
AUUGAACGCUGGCGGCAGGCCUAACACAUGCAAGUCGAACGAGUGGCGGACGGGUGAGUAAUGUCUGGGAAACUGCCUGAUGGAGGGGGAUAACUACUGGAAACGGUAGCUAAUACCGCAUACCAUCGGAUGUGCCCAGAUGGGAUUAGCUAGUAGGUGGGGUAAAGGCUCACCUAGGCGACGAUCCCUAGCUGGUCUGAGAGGGUGACCAGCAAAACUGGAACUGAGACAAGGUCCAGACUCCUACGGGAGGCAGCAGUGGGGAAUAGGGAACAAUGGGGGCAAGCCUGAGGCAGCCAUGCCGCGUGUAUGAAGAAGGCCUUCGUGUUUUAAAGUACUUUCAGCGGGGAGGCGUUACCCGCAGAAGAAGAACCGGCUAACUCCGUGCCAGCAGCCGCGGUAAUUC